rnacentral:sRNA from 1 species
UCUUCUAUAUGAUGGAAAAAAUGACCCGCUUGCUUGGUUGAGCUGCUGCGAUCAUUUCUUUCAUCAUCAACACAUUCUAGAAGA